UGGGGAAUAUUGGACAAUGGGCGAAAGCCUGAUCCAGCCAUGCCGCGUGUGUGAAGAAGGCCUUUUGGUUGUAAAGCACUUUAAGUGGGGAGGAAAAGCUUAUGGUUAAUACCCAUAAGCCCUGACGUUACCCACAGAAUAAGCACCGGCUAACUCUGUGCCAGCAGCCGCGGUAAUACAGAGGGUGCAAGCGUUAAUCGGAAUUACUGGGCGUGAAGCGCGCGUAGGUGGUUAUUUAAGUCAGAUGUGAAAGCCCCGGGCUUAACCUGGGAACUGCAUCUGAUACUGGAUAACUAGAGUAGGUGAGAGGGGAGUAGAAUUCCAGGUGUAGCGGUGAAAUGCGUAGAGAUCUGGAGGAAUACCGAUGGCGAAGGCAGCUCCCUGGCAUCAUACUGACACUGAGGUGCGAAAGCGUGGGUAGCAAACAGGAUUAGAUACCCUGGUAGUCCACGCCGUAAACGAUGUCUACCAGUCGUUGGGUCUUUUAAAGACUUAGUGACGCAGUUAACGCAAUAAGUAGACCGCCUGGGGAGUACGGCCGCAAGGUUA
rnacentral:rRNA from 1 species